GACGAACGCUGGCGGCGUGCUUAACACAUGCAAGUCGAACGAAGUGGCGAACGGGUGAGUAACGCGUAAUCAACCUGCCCUUCAGAGGGGGACAACAGUUGGAAACGACUGCUAAUACCGCAUACUGAAGGAGGGGAUUGCGUUGGAUUAGCUAGUUGGGGGGGUAACGGCCCACCAAGGCGAUGAUCAGUAGCCGGUCUGAGAGGAUGACCUGCCACAUUGGGACUGAGAAACGGCCCAGACUCCUACGGGAGGCAGCCGUGGGGAAUCUUCCGCCAUGGACGAAAGUCUGACGGAGCAACGCCGCGUGAGUGAUGAAGGCCUUCGGGUUGUAAAGCUCUGUUAAUCGGGACGCGGUACCGGAAUAGAAAGCCACGGCUAACUACGUGCCAGCAGCCGCGGUAAUUC
rnacentral:rRNA from 1 species